UAAUACGGAGGGUGCAAGCGUUAAUCGGAAUCACUGGGCGUAAAGCGCACGUAGGCGGCUUGGUAAGUCAGGGGUGAAAUCCCACAGCCCAACUGUGGAACUGCCUUUGAUACUGCCAGGCUUGAGUACCGGAGAGGGUGGCGGAAUUCCAGGUGUAGGAGUGAAAUCCGUAGAUAUCUGGAGGAACACCGGUGGCGAAGGCGGCCACCUGGACGGUAACUGACGCUGAGGUGCGAAAGCGUGGGUAGCAAACAGG
rnacentral:rRNA from 1 species